GGGUACCCCAGGCCAAAAAAUCAAACUUCCACAAGUUGCUUCUGGAGAUGCUGAGGGGCGUCAUCACCUCCUAGCAACUCGCCUAGCAACGGGGUAACAUCUGCUCCCUCUGGUCCAAUACGAGAAGAGAACAGCUGGGCGUCCGCCUCCUGCUCUAAGGAAGGGGAGGUGAGCUAGGCUUCAGUGACUGAAAGAACCUGCAGGAGCCAAAGGCUGUGAGUCCACGCCGCUGGUACUGCUGCUGCUGCUGUUGCUGCCGCUGCUACUUGCCGCCGCUGCGCUGCCCUCCACUGCUGUUGCUGCGACUGGACUGCUGUUUCUGUCCAAGUCAGCCCAGCCGGAAGCGCAAGAACCCCAAUCGAAGGAAGACUAAAGAGUGCAAACGGGAAACACAAGGAGAGCACCUAUAUCUUUGCAAAACAGGUGGACGCAUCUGACUCCUGGUUGGUGGCUCUUGCUUGCAAGGUAACAGUCCAGCAGACUUAUACUAUAAGAAAUGCUGGCUGUGCAAAGGCGAACUCUUACAAGAUUUUCUGAAGCCAUCCUAGAAACACAUUUUACAGAUUGAUUCAGCAUUACCAGGCUCAUCUCUCAUUAAUAACACCGUGAAUUAUUUCAUCUUUGAACACAAAGGGAACUACAGAACCUGGGAAGCUGAGGCCCAGGAUGUCAACUGAUUUGUUCAAGCUCAUCCAGUAAACGUAUUACCAUCUACAUUAACGACGUCGAAAGUAGCCUACUUUAAGAGGAAAUAUGCAGAAGAAGAAGAUUUACAUCAAGAUUACAAUGGGUAUUUUCCAAAACACCUGAUAUUACCAGAAGAUCGGACCUGCAUUCUAAAACUUUCACUAGAGAAGCUCAGGUUUCUUGAAGACCCUGAAACCUAUCUUCGAAGGUCUGUGCUGAUCAACAAUUUGUUGAGGAAGAUCCACCUGGAGGCAGAGAAAGAGAGUUAUGAAUACUUUAAGGAAGCUCCCUGUUAUAGGACUGCUUAUUCUGAUACAAGAAAACGGCUGAAGUUUAUGGUACAAGAAUGCUGCUCUCAGUCACUCUAUUAUGAAGAGCUGCAUUCGUACCAUAUUGUGCCUUAUUCUGCGGAGAAUGCCAUUUAUGGAAUGGGCUACACUAGCAGCCACUUGGAGCAAAAUUCUCAGUUGCUUAUUUAUAAAAUGAAUUAAAGCAACUGUUAGGUUGAUUUCCUAUUUUUUGUUUCUAAAUGCCUGAACUGUUUUUAAAUGAACAGGAUGCAUUGAUUGCUCAGUGCAUUUGGGAUCAAAGCUGAGAUGCACUUUGAACUGAAUGGAAGAGUACUUUGAUUAAUAUUUAGCAGUCCUUAGUAUCAUCAAAUUGAAUUAAAAUUAUGUCCAUACACUCUAAAGUUUGCAGAUUGAGUGCUUUUGGAAGCUGAGGUCUCUUUUAAAAUAUGGUUUCUAAUGUAAAGUUGUUCAUGCAGAUUUUUAGACAUUUUCAUCUAUAUUUCUUAUACCACCAUGUGUGGAGAAUAAAAAAAUGAAAAAAGAAAAAAACCUCACCUGACAGUGUAGUCUCAAUGAGGAUAAUGGGUGGUUUGAAUUUAACAUCCUCUAAAAGAUGAGAAAAUAGGCAGGUAGUUUCAGAAGUGCUUUGCAUUUUUCCAAGCAUUUGUGCCAACACAUUUGCUAGGCACAAUUUUCAGCCCCCUGAACUAGAAUUCAAAAUGGGGUAGCAGAUCCUGUAAAUUCAGAAUAAAACAGAUUUUUUUUGGGGGGGAUACUUUAAAUGGAUCCACUAAAUUAUGCUCAGUUUUACUUAUCUCAUGGCUUAGUAGCCUUUGUCAUUGAGCAGUGAAAUUUAGUGAACCCUAUGUCUGGGUCUUGUCAACAGUCACAGUUUGUGAUGGGUCACUACUCAAUAGUGAUAAUUUUAUUUAAUUUAUUUAGCCAUCUGUGUUGCAGGUUGUGGAGCCUGGGGAAGGGGUGGGUGGGCAAACUUUUUCAUUAAUUGGAAUUUUUCUGUAGUUUUCAAGGCUGGAAUAAACCAGCAGAUACACUAGAGUAUUCUUGCUUUACCCAUUUCUAAGUGUGUUCUAGACCAUGCAGUUUCAGCUUUGCAGUGGUCUUAGCAUUACUCUUAAGCACUAAUUGACAAGAGUUUCAGAGUGCUGUUGGCAUAACAGUUUAGGUAGUCAUGUUUUGAAAUGUGAAAGAUGUUUAUUUAAUAUAUUAGAUAGAGUUAUUAAAUUGUUUGAGGUAUUUUGUAUCUUUUGGGAUUCAAGUAUGAUGUCCAUCUUCAGUUUUUGGAGUUUUGUCUUAUCAAGCAUGUCACGUAAAAAGGUAAAAAAGUGAUCAAGCAGAUUGGGAAAACUAGUUGCCAAAGGUAUACCCAGAACAAACCAAAGACUAGUGUUAAUUAGGCUGUGGCAUUUGAAAGAAGAGUUGGAGAUGAGGAUUGCUUAAUAAUGAAGAGCAACACUACUGAUGCUUCUGCAAACUUGGUGUUUUAAUGUGUUUGAAGAUCAUUUGGGGACUCUUUACACAGAACAAUAAAAUGGUCAAGGUCUUGCUUUAGGUGACCGAUUACAAACCUUCCAUGAUCAUAUUCCAUCAUUCAUGAAAAGGUGAUGGUUUGUUGUUAUAUGGUCCUGGUUCUGAAAGCACUCCAUUCACAAAACGUUUGCCUAUUUGAGAGAUUUGUAGCUUCUAACUUGACUCAUGUUGUCUGUGUCCUAUUAUGAACUAUCACCAUGUUGAUCAUGGGGGAAUUUAAUAUCAAGGGUUUAAAAAUCUUAAUUAGAAUGCAUGGCAGCAGAUUGCAAAAAUGUAAUGGCAGACUUUGCUGGGUGUGUAUUUAAUGGUACUAUCAAACCCAGGAUAAAAAGCAUUACAGCAAAAUCAAAAUUAAAAAUCAGAAUUGAGGUUAAUGCCCAUGCAAUGUAAACUGAAUGGAAAAUCCUAAUACAAAGAACCAAAAAAACCCCCAAAAAAUCUAAACAUUUGGGAGCCAAAUUUAGACCAGAAGUUCAAAAAACUUUAAAACCUGCCCUUUGCCACCAUGCCAAGAAAAUAGUUCUCAUUUCCCAUAAUAGCUCCUUUAUCACUUAGAGUUCAUAAAGCAUGAUAAUAUCAAUGACAAAGUCUAUAAAUGUAAGAGGAGAAACAGAAAAAGGAAUUUUCCCAGUGAGAAUUAGUAGUGGAGGAUUUCCAGAUUUUCACUGGAAAAGGUAAUAUACUUGGCUUGUAGACAAAGCUACAUUAAUUUGCCUUUAAGAGGAAACCUAACAAUAUUAGAUAAUGCAUGCAUCCAAGUAUUUUUAAAAAUCAGGGAAUAUGUGAAUAAUAUACUUAUCUUUGGAAAAAAUUAGCAUAGAAAAGGUGAAGGGAUUAAAGGAAUUUUUUGUACCAAAUGUAUAUGAAUGAAUUGCUGGUGAAAUCAGCUAAUCUAUGUGGCAGAGAAACAGCAAAAUCUGUCUCAUUUGAUCCCCUAUCAUUUAAAGAGCUUGCUACGAAGAGGGGGUUGUUCUUUAGUUGUGUCCAACUCUUCUUGACCCCACUUGGGGUCUUGUUGGCAAAGAUACUGGAGUGGUUUACCAUUUCCUUAUCCAGCUCAUUUUAUAGAUGAGGAAACUAAGGCAAAGAAGGUUAAGUGACUUGCCCAAAGUCACAUGGCUAGUAAGUAUCUGGGGCUGGAUUUGAAUUCAGAUCUUCAUGAGUCCAGGCCCAGUGCUCUUAUCCACUGUGUCACCUAUCUGCCUAUAUGAAGAGAAGUACCAAUGCCCCAAAAUAAACAACUCUGUGAAAAUAUGUUAAAAUAUUUCCUCAAAAAUUACAAGAAAUAAAAACGUAAAGGCUCUUUAAAGUAGCAAAUCAUCUGUUUAAGGCAUUUAUACUUUUUCAUUAAAAUUAUAAUGAACUAUCAUUGAUAAGGGGCUUCCCAUUAACUUGAACACCUGUAGAAAUAUAUUAGAACUAUGAAACCUCUGUUCUUCUGAGUGAAGAAAAAAGGUUAAGGAAAAUUAACUAGGAUAGCAUUAACUACACUUCCUCUUCUCUCCUUUAAGUGUCCCAUUGUCUUCUUUCCCUCUCCUGACCUGGGUUGAAGUGAAGCCUAUUGAAACUUUUCAGUGGAAUGCAGAGGGCUACUCUAGAUAAGCAGCCAUGAGUAUCACUGAUAGGGUUGUGGGUGUUGCUAGCAGGCUGGAGGUAAGGUAAGAAAGAAUGCUGAAAAAAAAAGGAAGCAUGGAAAGGCAAAUGGAGAAGAGUAAGGAAAAGUGAAACAAGGAUUGGGAGAAAGGUUAGAGAAAGAAAAGAAAGAGGUGAUUAUUUCCAGAAUUGUUUGACUGCUGCCAACAGCUGGCAUCUGAACCUUUCUUUGGCUGUUGGUUCCAUCUGGACAAAGAACUCAUUCAUUUCCUUAGUUCAUUGCUUUGCAUUCACCAAGGAUUCUGGAUUGUAUUUAGUCCAUAUUCAAUUGAACAAUUUACGUGCUAAAUUUUACAAUCUUCCUCUAAAUAGUAUGGUGGGGGCAUGGCUGAAGAUGAAAAGUUGUGAUGAAUAGGUGAUUGAUAGACCAAGCAUGUAUGGAUGGGUCAGCCAAAUACCUACAUCAGAUAUCAAACCACAUUCUGAGGUUUUAUAAAAUGAGUCCCACUGCACCAGGAAGUGAAGGACAUUUCAAGCCUGUUAACUGGGAGCCUAGGCUUUUCCCACCAUUCAAACCUGGGAAUGCCUAACAGGUAUAUGCCUCUGUAGGCCCUUGUGAAGAGAGAAUUCCAGACCCUAAUGAAUCAGAAGCCAGGCACUAAAGCUUUUAGUGGUAGAGUUCAUAUUUUGCCUUUAGGAACUUUAGGAUCAAGUAUAGAACCAGGGUGUAGGGAUCUUGGGGACAAAUCACACUGUGUCCCUCUCCCCUCCUCCUCCUUCACUGUUCCCAUUUACUCCAUACAGGCAAAAUCAGUAUGAACAAAUAUAGCUGUAAAGGGGCAAAAAUAAAAAAAAGAAUAAUAGCCUGAAGAUUGUGUUAAAAAAGCAGUCAGUGUGAGUCCUACCCUAUUUGUCUUGGUGAGGAAUAAGGGCCAUUGAUGGCUAAAAUAUGAGUUUAUUUGUCACUUGCUCAUACUAUGCUAUAUGAGCCUCAGAUCUUUUCCUUUUUUUAAAGUACCAGUUGAAGGAGUCACUUUUCCACCUCUCCCACUGGAUCCCGGAAUCACUGCAGCAGUGUGCAUUUGGGGGAGUUCUCAAUACCUGGGACCAGGAUGGUCAUUCUGAUUUGCUGUACCUUAGGAUGGUGCUAGUUAUUGUGGGAAGACAAAGUGAAGCAUUAGCCUACUGCACCAGCUGAACUUUCUCUGGGAAAAGGAUUUUUAAGAGUAGGGCCAAUUAGUAUUCAUUGCUGUAAUCUGGUCAUUCCUGGGCUGAUCCAGUGCUUAUUGAAACAAUAGUUCUCAGUCUUCUUUAAUGACCUUUAUAAAAAUAUUAAUUUCAUUUUGGGACUUAUACACUUACUUCAAUGUGAUAUGAUACUGUGCAAGUAAUAUUCAUUUUUAUUAAACAUUUAAAGGAAAGUACUUCCAUUUGAAAAAAAAUAGAUACUUUUGACAAGCUUUUAGAAACUAGGAUCUAAUGCAAACAAGUGUUCUUAAUUAACUGAAAAUUUAUGGUGUAUAUAGUUAUAUAUAUAAAUAUAUAUAUGUCAAAUUAAUAAAUUCCCUUUUUCAAAAUUCAUUGAUAGACUUCAGGUAUAUGAUGAAUUUUGGUUGCUUGUUUCUAUUCCUUGAGGGCCCUUUCCCAACUGCAGCAGUCCAUCUGGAGCUGAGAACUCUGGUCUGAGUUCUCGUAUUAAUAUAAUUCUCUUUCUGUGAGAAUUGGCAAUAGGUUGUAGCUCUUAACCUUAACUUUCCAACCAGAAAUAUAUACAGGAGGACAUAUUUUGUUUUAGGCUUGAAGAAAUGAUUUAUUUGCAAUGACUUUUUCUACUCCUUAAAAAGAAGAUAUUCAAUUUAAACCAACAAGAAAUUAGGGUAAAGCAGUAAGAAGGGUUACACAAAGUACCAUAAUACUACUUUCCAAACUGAUUGAAAAUCCUCUCGUCUUUGAAGGAUGAUGUAAAGUUUUAUAUGCUAGAUGGAAAAUGGUGAAAUUACAUAAAUAAAUUACAUGAGAUUACCUAAAAUUGCAUGUAAUUUUAUUUUGAUCAAGUAUAAGAAAAGCAUAUCUAUGUGUGUGUGUAUAUAUAUAUCCCAUUCUUAAAAGUUUAGGAAACAUCCAUGUGGCCAUUUAUAUUCUUGCUUUCUUCUCCAACCCCAAGGGACAGUCUCAGAGCUGGGAGGUCCAUUAAGUAAGCAUAGAGCCAGGUCCACAGCUAGCAAGAAUUGCACACUUUCAGGCUUGGCUAGAUCUGGGAAAGACUUGAAAGACAUUAGACAUUAAAACUUAAAUCUCUGACUUACUGUGAGGGCUGCACACUGCAGUAAACCCAUAUGUGAAAUGAUGAGGAAAGAAACUUUCUUUCCCCUUUUUGCAGUGAACUCUCUACAGUCUGUGGUUUUGUUAUAGACCUCUUGGGUCUACUCAGUUGUAAAGGUUUGUUCAAGCAAGGGGAUAGCUAGUAAAUGGGAGAGAGUUACAUGCAUUUUUAAAUUCACGCAUGCCAAGUGAUUUCUUGUCAGGGUAUUUCUAGGUCAUACAUAGUUGGUAUAGCUAUUGUGAAAUAUAUCGUCAUAAAUUUGUCAUAAACCAUUAAUGAAAGAACAAAGGCAGAACAUUUACAUCUAUGGAAAUGCACUAAAAUGUCAAACAGAUGGUAUUCUACAACAUUUAUUUGGAGAAUACAUACAUCUGCUAUAUAAUCAGAAAUAUGCUUUUUCACAUUUUAAAAUAUCUUGGUUAUGAUUAAAAUUUUUAUUGGGUUGUUUUCUAAAUGAAGAGAGAGAAAAGGUAAAUGUAUUUUAAAACAUUUGACAUGAUAUUAAUAAAAUUUUAUUUCUGGUGAAAUACAGGUGCCUUUAUUAAAUUCUAAAGAAAGCCAUGAAAGCAGGGGAAGUGGGAUUGUGAACAUUUACUAUUUCUCUUAUGACUCCUGAAUUUCAGUUUUCUUGCUUUAAGGGCACCCAGAUGAAAUGAUUUGGAAUUUUAUUUUCAACACAGGAAAGUUUGCUUGAAGACUUGUAUAAUCCUCUGAGGACUUUUGGAAGAUUAUCUUUUCCCAAAUGACCUUUGAAAUGGUUUUCAGGUUAUAGCUAUCAUCACUACACGUCAAGACGUGAUGCUUCAGAAUCAGAUUUUUUUUUUCCGACAGAAGAGUAGAAUGGAGACAACGUCAAAACUGAGCACAGGUUCUGAAUAUGGCACAGUGGAAAGAUUAUAGAAUUUAGAGUUAAAGGAUCAAGUCUUGACUCUGUCACUUCCUGCCUGUGUGAACCUGUGCAUAUUAAUUCAUCUCUCUGGGCCUUAGUUUCUUCAGCAGUGGACUAGAUGACCUCCAAGGUCCUUUUGAGCUCUAGAUCUAUGAUCAAAGGGCCAUAAAUUCUAAGAAUUAUAUGGAUCAUAAUAGCUUCUGAAUCCCAAGGUGAGUAAGUCAUAGCAUUAUUAGUUUAACGGGGAUCAGAAUAAUUCAACAGAGCAAGAAACAUACUCCUUGAGAGAAUAAUAAAAAAUCUAUAAUGAGCAAAUUUGCCAAUUAUCUUUAAAAAUAGAAUGGGUCAUCAGCUUCCAGCAUACCAAUGAAGGCAAAGACAUUGAGUAAAGAGAAAACUGUCUAUUAUUUAUUUAUUUAUUUUUGCAGGACAAUGAGAGUUAAGUGACUUGCCCAGAGUCACACAGCUAGUAAGUGUCAAGUGUCUGAGGUCGGAUUUGAACUCAGGUCCUCCUGAAUUCAGGGCUGGUGCUUUAUCCACUGCACCACCUACCUGCCCCCUGUGUAAUUUUUGUUUAAGUAAUUGUGGAACAACUGAAAACAUAGAAAUAAUAGAAGGUGUCAUAUACAUAUCAUUAAAACCUUACACUACAGGGUUGAAUUCUAAUGGAAGAAGAGCCAUUGGCCUUUUCUCCAAGCUAGCAUGACAAUCUCAUAUGUUGUAUAAGUGCCUCAUACAGUGUUUUGCUCAUAUUUGGUAUUCAAUAAAUGUUGUUGACUGACAGUUUUGUUUCUCUUAAAUGCAUUUUCAUCUUUGGA